GUGGGUUGUGGCUCAGUGGUAGAGCGCUUGCCUUGCACAUGUGUGACUCUGGGUUCAAUCCUCAGCACCACA
rnacentral:tRNA from 1 species